UCUCAACUCGAGUUCCGAACCUCAUAACCAGUUGAGCUCUCGUCGAGACAACACAGCUGAGAGGAAUCAUAGGGCAGUCACCUGAGAGGAAUCAAUCAUAGCAUAAUCAUCUACACCUGUAUCCUGCUAUCUACACCUGUAUCCUGCUAUCUACACUCGAGGAGAUUCACGCAGCAUCAAGCACUACAUCAUUUUCUCACCUCUCAACUCGAGUUCCGAACCUCAUAACCAGUUGAGCUCUCGUCGAGACAACACAGCUGAGAGGAAUCAUAGCGUGGUCACCUGAGAGGAAUCAAUCAUAGCAUAAUCAUCUACACCUGUAUCCUGCUAUCUACACCUGUAUCCUGCUAUCUACACUCGAGGAGAUUCACGCACCAUCAAGCACUACAUUAUCAUGCCGAGGGAACGCAGACUUCGUGGGAUCAAUUCAAGCGCAGUUCGCCAUCGCAUCAACCUCGAUGAGGAGGAUAUCGACAUCAGCAGUGUGCUCGAGAGCUCGAAACGUCGAGUUUUUGAUAUAAUUAGGGAACAUGCCGCACGCUAUGAUGGCAAUGUUAAAUGGUUCAUCGUCCUCAAUGUUUUGCUGUAUAAAUUAGUGGUGAUGGAUGACAAGCAGGUUGGUGACUCUGUCUCAUCUCUAAUAAAUCUACAUAGUUACUCCAACAUAGCACUAAAUGUGCUUGAGAACUAUGAAGAGUUUAAUGACCAUUUCAUGUUAGCUGUGAGAAAAAUUCUCUCAUCUUUUGAAAAUUUUGUAAGAUAUGGGAGUGGGUGGGUGCUAAAGAAAAUUGAAUCACUGGAUGUGAACGUGAUUAAAUUUAAUCCUAUAUACACAUCCAGUUUCAUUCAGACACCCCAG